rnacentral:pre_miRNA from 1 species
AAUAGUUUUAUGCCACAUCAGUACUCUUAUCCUGAAUUUCAGGAUUUUAUCCUGAAAAAAAUCAAAUCCAAAUUAAAAUACUAAAAUUCAGGAUAAAAUCCUGAAAUUUAGGAUAAGAAUACUAAUGUGGCAUAAAACUAUU